AAAUCACAGGUUUCCCUUACAAUCACUGAAGUUAAGCAACCUUGAGCCUGGUCAAUACCUAGAUGGGUGACUGCUUGGGAAUAGUAGGUGCUGUAAU